rnacentral:lncRNA from 1 species
ACCAAGAACUCCUGAACUUGAGAGUGGACGACUUCAAAGCUAGCUCUCACAGACUCACCUGGAAAAGAGUUCAGCUGCGCGUUCAUUGAACCGAGAGGCCAGAUCACCUAUGUGAGGCGGUGGGAACCAUAUGGAGAUUUAUAUUAGAACUUCAGCAAAGUGCACAGCUGCAGCCGGCAGAAGCCAGCUCUCGGGCUGACAGGCAAAUGAACCAGAUCGUGGACGGGGCCUCUGGGUGGCAGCUCCGGCCUUUUGGUUGUUGGACAACUAUAGUCAGAACUGAAAUGGAACAGGGGCAGGAGAAAUAACACACUUUUACUCCACGCAACUGUUGCUUUCACAUGAUCUUCAGGAAUGUAACUGGGAUAAUUGUCCAAAUUGAAUCCCAUACCCUGUCAUGGUACUGAUUAUUAAGGUGACUAUAUGAAAGGAUCACUCCAAAAUAACACAUACCAGAAUAGGAGUCCUGUCUUAACUGAGCAAUAUACACUAUGGAGAGAUCCUUCAAAACCCGUCGGGACGAAUAACAGAUGAAUUCAUAAAACUGUUCAUCUCUGUAAGUAACAUCCUGUUAACAGAAGUUUUGUAUAUAGAAUUAAGUUUAAUAUUGACUUAAGUGAGGUCUUUGUGUAUAUUAGAAUACCUUAGUGUUUGGGGAUUUUUUGUUUGUUUUGUUGUUAUUGUUAAUAUUUAUUACAUAAUUUUAAAAGAUUAUGUGGUACCUUGAUGCCUUUAACAAAUCUUUUCAUAGAAAUGUUUGGUUUGUAAACAUGUCUGAAUGAUGAAAUAACUGUAUUUAAGUGCUUCCCCAUAAGAUAAAGGCUGAGUUUUCAUAAAAGAAGGCAAGAAGGUCAAGGAGCAGAUUUUAAAUCUGAUGUUCCCACACCUGAAUUCUGUCAUGGGAGCUAUUAUAUAAUUUUAUAUGAUAAGGUUUUUUUUUGAGCUACAUUUACAAGUUGCAAUAAGAUAGCCUACUUAUUAGAUGGUAACAAUUUUAGAUUUUAUGAGCGAUUUUAACCAGUAACUUAAGACAUUAGACACCUUUAGUGUGCAAAGCAGUUCUGAAGUUCAGGCAGUGGAUGAAAGUGUCUCUAGUGUCUUAAAGCAAUCUUUGUAUCUCCACCACCACACAUGAUUUUUGCCCCCUGUGAUACAGUAAUCUACUUAAUGCACGAGUUUGAUCUUAGUUACAUUUGUAUUUUCCGUUUGCCAUGCCAAUGAGAAUCAGAUGAAUUACCAGUUAGUAGAAAUGAGAAUUAGAACUACCUUAAUUGGUAUGCUUAUCACAUACUUAUAACUCUGCCAGCUUCCUCUUGAUAUGCUGUAGCACAUUGUUCACUUGGGUGUAGAACAAACUCAAAUUAGAAUUUUAAAAAAUAUAUUAUGAUUACCUUUGGGUUAAUUUAUACGUGUGUGCAUAUAUGGAGUCGAUUUUGUUUGUAAUUUUACAUCGUGAUUAAUGGCAUUGUUUACAAAUUACUGCUUUUCGAAAUAAGGAUUGAAGUGUAUGAAUAGAUCAUAUCAGUCAACACUAAAAUUCAUGGAAGUUAGAAGUUUCUAGAAAUUUAUUCUCAUAAGUUCUUUUCAUCCUUGAGUUUAUAGCUGAGAUACUAUUUGAUGUACCACUUUCCUUUAAUAGUAAAAAAUUAAUGCCGUCAAAUAUGUCAAGUUUUUGCUAAAACACAUCCUUAAAUUUGCUACCAUUAACCAAA